rnacentral:tRNA from 1 species
UACAGCGUGGCAUAGUGGUUUGAGUGUUGGACUAGGACUCCGGAGACCAGGGAUUGAUUCCCUGCUCGGCCA